rnacentral:lncRNA from 1 species
AAAAAAACCGCUCGAGCAGCCACUGCCUCCAGCGACAUUUGGAGUGGUAAAUGUGUGCACGCUACUUCUUGAUUAACUAUAACAGCUGCACCACCGGAUGACGCCAGGG